rnacentral:misc_RNA from 1 species
UGGUUGCUGCUUGGUCUUUUUGUGGGCCUCCAUGGUCAGCAAUAACUGCUCUAGCUCCUUCACAAAAUUAAUAGCACCUCCAAUUAUGGAUGCUUGGUCACCCCUCUGAACAUAGGAAGGAGGCAUCAGAGACCUAAGCACAGCAAGAUACUCAUUCAUCUGUUUCCUGCGGUUGCGUUCAACUGCAAUGUGAGUCAUCCUCUGGUUCUCUAUUUCCUCCUUAUUCUUGGUGCUCUUAGUGCGCCGUCGCUUUCGCCGGCCAGCAGUGGUGGGCGGUGGUACCAUUGGAUGGAAUACUCCAGCAGUAGGAGGAGGGAGAGAUUGAUCAACAGUGCAAGUCUCAGGUGAAGAAUUAGGAUCCCAUUGAUCUUUUGCAUGUUGCAUCAUGGAAGGAGAUGAGGAAUCCCAAUUUGCACGGAGACCAUGUCGUUGCUCUUUAUUAUUGUUGCUAUGUUCUGCAGGAAUCCCAAGAAAAACUUUUUCUUCAUCUUGUAGCUCAAAAUCAUAGUCCCAAGCCCCUCCAA